rnacentral:rRNA from 1 species
GGAGUCUAGCAUGUGCGCAAGCAAUUUGGAGCUUUUAUGAAGCCUAAAUACGCAAUGAAAGUGAAUGCACUUUAUGAUGGGUUUCAUAUUCAUCAUUAGUACAAAUGGAAGAUAUGCAAAUAUGCGCAAGCAUAUUGGUGUCGCACUCCAGGGGCGUCUCAUUCUCAUUGCGAGAGGAGGCGCACCAAGAGCGUACACGCUGGGACCCGAAAGAUGGUGAACUAUGCCUGGUCAGGAUGAAGUCAGGGGAAACCCUGAUGGAGGUCCGUAGCGAUUCUGACGUGCAAAUCGAUCGUCGGAACUGGGUAUAGGGGCGAAAGACUAAUCGAACUAUCUAGUAGCUGGUUCCCUCCGAAGUUUCCCUCAGGAUAGCUGGCUCUUAACGGAGGAGUUUCAUCUGGUAAAGCGAAUGAUUAGAGGCAUUGGGGUCGAAACGGCCUCAACCUAUUCUCAAACUUUAAAUGGGUGAGAUCGUCGGCUUGCUUGAACUAAAAUGAAGCCGUACGAAUUUAAUUACGAUUUGAAUCAAAGUGCCAAGUGGGCCAUUUUUGGUAAGCAGAACUGGCGCUGUGGGAUGAACCAAACGUCGAGUUAAAGCGCCCAAAUUGACGCUUAUGGGACACCAUGAAAGGCGUUGGUAACUUAAGACACCAGGGCGGUGGCCAUGGAAGUC